rnacentral:rRNA from 1 species
UACAGAGGUGGCAAGCGUUGUUCGGAAUUACUGGGCGUAAAGGGCGCGUAGGCGGCCUUCUAAGUCAGACGUGAAAUCCCCCGGCUUAACCUGGGAACUGCGUCUGAUACUGGAAGGCUUGAGUGCGGGAGAGGGAUGUGGAAUUCCAGGUGUAGCGGUGAAAUGCGUAGAGAUCCGGAAGAACACCGGUGGCGAAGGCGGCCUGCUGGGCAGUAGCUGACGCUGAUGCGCGACAGCGUGGGGGAGCAAACAGG